AUUGAACGCUGGCGGCAGGCCUAACACAUGCAAGUCGAGCGGAUGAAGGGAGCUUGCUCCUGGAUUCAGCUGCGGACGGGUGAGUAAUGCCUAGGAAUCUGCCUGGUCGUGGGGGAUAACGUCCGGACACGGGCGCUAAUACCGCAUACGUCCUGAGGGUGAAAGUGGGGGAUCUUCGGACCUCACGCUAUCAGAUGAGCCUAGGUCGGAUUAGCUAGUUGGUGGGGUAAAGGCCUACCAAGGCGACGAUCCGUAACUGGUCUGAGAGGAUGAUCAGUCACACUGGAACUGAGACACGGUCCAGACUCCUACGGGAGGCAGCAGUAGGGAAUAUUGGACAAUGGGCGAAAGCCUGAUCCAGCCAUGCCGCGUGUGUGAAGAAGGUCUUCGGAUUGUAAAGCACUUUAAGUUGGGAGGAAGGGCAGUAAGUUAAUACCUGGCUGUUUUGACGUUACCAACAGAAUAAGCACCGGCUAACUUCGUG
rnacentral:rRNA from 1 species